rnacentral:rRNA from 1 species
CCCUUAGAUGUUCUGGGCCGCACGCGCGCUACACUGACGAAGUCAGCGAGCAUGUCCUACGCCGACAGGUGCGGGGAAUCUUGUCAAACUUCGUCGUGAUGGGGAUUGAUUAUUGAAAUUCUUGAUCAUCAACGAGGAAUUCCUAGUAAGCGCAAGUCAGCAGCUUGCGUUGAUUACGUCCCUGCCCUUUGUACACACCGCCCGUCGCUACUACCGAUUGAAUGGUUUAGUGAGAUCGUCGGAUUGGCGCCACUGCGGCUCAGCAAUGGGCUCGGUGGAUGCCGAAAAGUUGAUCAAACUUGAUCAUUUAGAGGAAGUAAAAGUCGUAACA